GAAAGGUUAACCCAACCCCUUCACCUCUCAAAGGCCCAGUGUCCUAUGUGCUUGAGUAACCUCCUUGCUGACUCGCCUAUGUCCAACACCACAGAAAGCAAGCCAGUCCCACCAGGUCUGAACUGUAUACUAUAUCCUUGGCGAAUAGUGGAGAUGGAGGAGAAAAAAAGUAGAAGAUGCCAGAGUGCCCAGCCUACUUUACCCACCACUGUCUUACACAGAAUCUGAACAUCAAAUAGGUCACCUUUGAAAUUGGAAAGUAGAUUAGAUUUGAAAUGAGAAGAAUAUCCUUGCUGGCAGAGGAUCAUCCAGGAGGAAAGGACAACAGUGUCCACCAUCGCUGAACACUGUUGGCUGAUCUGUCCAAUCCAAACCUCUUCGAAUACUCCCUAUCAAUUUCAACCUUGCGGAAAACCAACAGAAUAAAAACUAAAAUCAAAGCAGCAAAAGGGAAAUAAUAAGACUUCUGUAAGUUCACUGAAAGUAUGCUUUUCUGAAUCCUGCUGAUCACACAAGGGCUAAAGAGAAGCGGACUUGCUCCUUACCCUUGUGGAACAUGCAGAACACAGGAGAGAAGCACCGAACCAUCACCAAUGUUCUGAGUUUUGCUAUAGGACCACACUGCUGAGGACACACAUUAAUCAAGAAGAACAUGUGCAGAUAAAAGAGCAACAGCAAGCUGGACUGAUAGCUGGUUAAAAGUGACAACUGAGACAUACUGGUGGCUGUCUGCGAGUUUAGAAACAGGAAACAGCACUUGCUACAGUUGCCAAAGGGCAUGUGACCUCAGAAAGGGUUAUGCAGAAAGUCAAGAUCAGAAUCGGAACAAGGGAGUUUGUGGUGACAAGCACUGCGGAGUAUGUGUUUAUGUGAAA
rnacentral:lncRNA from 1 species